UGGGGAAUUUUGGACAAUGGGGGAAACCCUGAUCCAGCCAUCCCGCGUGUGCGAUGAAGGCCUUCGGGUUGUAAAGCACUUUUGGCAGGAAAGAAACGUCAUGGGUUAAUACCCCGUGAAACUGACGGUACCUGCAGAAUAAGCACCGGCUAACUACGUGCCAGCAGCCGCGGUAAUACGUAGGGUGCAAGCGUUAAUUGGAAUUACUGGGCGUAAAGCGUGCGCAGGCGGUUCGGAAAGAAAGAUGUGAAAUCCCAGAGCUCAACUUUGGAACUGCAUUUUUAACUACCGGGCUAGAGGGUGUCAGAGGGAGGUGGAAUUCCGCGUGUAGCAGUGAAAUGCGUAGAUAUGCGGAGGAACACCGAUGGAGAAGGCAGCCUCCUGGGAUAACACUGACGAUCAUGCACGAAAGCGUGGGGAGCAAACAGG
rnacentral:rRNA from 1 species